rnacentral:rRNA from 1 species
AGUGAACGCUGGCGGUAGGCCUAACACAUGCAAGUCGAACGGCAGCACAGGAGAGCUUGCUCUCUGGGUGGCGAGUGGCGGACGGGUGAGGAAUACAUCGGAAUCUACUCUGUCGUGGGGGAUAACGUAGGGAAACUUACGCUAAUACCGCAUACGACCUACGGGUGAAAGCAGGGGAACUUCGGACCUUGCUCGAUUGAAUGAGGCGAUGUCGGAUUAGCUAGUUGGCGGGGUAAAGGCCCACCAAGGCGACGAUCCGUAGCUGGUCUGAGAGGAUGAUCAGCCACACUGGAACUGAGACACGGUCCAGACUCCUACGGGAGGCAGCAGUGGGGAAUAUUGGACAAUGGGCGCAAGCCUGAUCCAGCCAUACCGCGUGGGUGAAGAAGGCCUUCGGGUUGUAAAGCCCUUUUGUUGGGAAAGAAAUCCAGCUGGCUAAUACCCGGUUGGGAUGACGGUACCCAAAGAAUAAGCACCGGCUAACUUCGUGCCAGCCGCCGCCGUAA